rnacentral:rRNA from 1 species
GACGAACGCUGGCGGCGUGCUUAACACAUGCAAGUCGAACGGGCCUGUCUUCUUUUUUGGGGGUGGGUUGAGUGGCGAACGGGUGAGUAUCACGUGAGUAACCUGCCCUUCGGUCCUGGAUAACCGCUUGAAAGGGCGGCUAAUACGGGGUGGUCCGGUUGGUCCGCAUGGGCUGGUCGGGAUAGAUUCACUGUUUUUGGUGUUUCGGCGGGGGAUGGGCUCGCGGCCUAUCAGCUUGUUGGUGGGGUGAUGGCCUACCAAGGCGGUGACGGGUAGCCGGCCUGAGAGGGUGGUCGGCCACACUGGGACUGAGAUACGGCCCAGACUCCUGCGGGAGGCAGCAGUGGGGGGUAUUGCACAAUGGGCGGAAGCCUGAUGCAGCGACGUCGCGUGAGGGAUGGAGGCCUUCGGGUUGUGAACCUCUGUUUCCGGUGGUGAAGGCCCUGUCCGUGUGGUGGGGUUGACGGUAGCCGGGGAUGAAGCGCCGGCUAACUACGUG